rnacentral:rRNA from 1 species
GCCUAACACAUGCAAGUCGAACGGAACUAUUUUGACUGAUUCCUUCGGGAUGAAGAAUUUUUAGUUUAGUGGCGGACGGGUGAGUAACGCGUUAGUAACCUGCCUCUGAGAGGGGAAUAACGGUCUGAAAAGAACGCUAAUACCGCAUAACACAUAAUGGCCGCAUGGCAGAUAUGUAAAAGAUUUUAUCGCUCGGAGAUGGACUCGCGUCCGAUUAGUUAGUUGGGGAGGUAACGGCUCACCAAGACCGCGAUCGGUAGCCGGACUGAGAGGUUGAACGGCCACAUUGGGACUGAGACACGGCCCAGACUCCUACGGGAGGCAGCAGUGGGGGAUAUUGCGCAAUGGGGGCAACCCUGACGCAGCAACGCCGCGUGAAGGAUGAAGGUUUUCGGAUUGUAAACUUCUUUUAUCAGGGACGAACUCUGACGGUACCUGAUGAAUAAGCUCCGGCUAACUACGUGCCAGCCGCCGCAGUAAGAC